UACAGAGGUCUCAAGCGUUGUUCGGAUUCAUUGGGCGUAAAGGGUGUGUAGGUGGCGCCGUAAGUCGGGUGUGAAAUUUCGGAGCUUAACUCCGAAACUGCAUUCGAUACUGCGGUGCUUGAGGACUGGAGAGGAGACUGGAAUUUACAGUGUAGCGGUGAGAUGCGUAGAUAUCGUAAGGAAGACCAGUGGCGAAGGCGGGUCUCUGGACAGUUCCUGACGCUGAGGCGCGAAGGCUAGGGGAGCAAACGGG
rnacentral:rRNA from 1 species